rnacentral:rRNA from 1 species
UUCCGGUUGAUCCUGCCGGAGGUCAUUGCUAUUGGAGUCCGAUUUAGCCAUGCUAGUUGCACGAGUUCAGACUCGUAGCAGAUAGCUCAGUAACACGUGGCCAAACUACCCUACAGAGCACGAUAACCUCGGGAAACUGAGGCUAAUAGUGCAUACGGCUCGCUACCUGGAAAUGGUACGAGCUCGAAACGCUCCGGCGCUGUAGGAUGUGGCUGCGGCCGAUUAGGUAGACGGUGGGGUAACGGCCCACCGUGCCAGUAAUCGGUACGGGUUGUGAGAGCAAGAGCCCGGAGACGGUAUCUGAGACAAGAUACCGGGCCCUACGGGGCGCAGCAGGCGCGAAACCUUUACACUGCACGCCAGUGCGAUAAGGGGACUCCAGGUGCGAGGGCAUAUAGUCCUCGCUUUUGUACACCGUAAGGUGGUGUACGAAUAAGUGCUGGGCAAGACCGGUGCCAGCCGCCGCGGUAAUACCGGCAGCACGAGUGAUGACCGCUAUUAUUGGGCCUAAAGCGUCCGUAGCUGGCCAGUCAAGUCCAUCGGGAAAUCUCUCCGCCCAACGGAGAGGCGUCCGGUGGAAACUGUCUGGCUUGGGACCGGAAGACCAGAGGGGUACGUCCGGGGUAGGAGUGAAAUCCCGUAAUCCUGGACGGACCACCGGUGGCGAAAGCGCCUCUGGAGGACGGAUCCGACGGUGAGGGACGAAAGCUCGGGUCACGAACCGGAUUAGAUACCCGGGUAGUCCGAGCUGUAAACGAUGUCUGCUAGGUGUGACACAGGCUACGAGCCUGUGUUGUGCCGUAGGGAAGCCGUGAAGCAGACCGCCUGGGAAGUACGUCCGCAAGGAUGAAACUUAAAGGAAUUGGCGGGGGAGCACUACAACCGGAGGAGCCUGCGGUUUAAUUGGAUUCAACGCCGGG